UACCAGUCGAAGAGAGAGGAUGACAAAACUGUUGUAGGAGUUAUAGGUCGAUAGCUUGUCUGCACAGGAGAUUAACAGAAAAAACACCAUUCAAGAGGAGGGAAUUAGAAGGAAAUACAGAAUCCUCCAAGCAGGAUUUCUGGAAAAACAGUCGAGCUUGUUCCCUGGCCAGUAUCACCAGAAUCAGGGCUUGUCCAGGGACAGGCAGAUCCACAGAGGCCCCAGCACCACCAGUCUGAUAACACAGGAAUGCUAUGAAGAGUGGGGAGGACCUUAUUCUGCAGGAAGUUAGGGCUACUAUCUGAGGACCUGAGCCCUAGGACCAUGCCUCAAGACUACCUGGCCUGACGAAUUCUGGCUGUUCACGUCCCCAGUCCACCUGUAGUGCUGCUGACAGUUUCUGCUGUUCAGCCUGCGGCUAUGGAUCCUGACCUGUUCACCAGAUGUGCUACCUUGUACCGGACCUGCUGUUUUGACCCUCUCCCCCUGCUUUAAGUGCUUUGAAAGGCUGGUCAUGGCUUACAUCAACACCAUCAUCCCGGAAACCCUAGACCUACUCCAAUUCGCAUACCGCCCCAACAGAUCCACAUAUGACGCAAUCUCAAUCACACUCCACACUGCCCUUUCCCACCUGGACAAAAGGAACACCUAUGUGAGAAUGCUGUUCAUUGACUUCAGCUCAGCGUUCAACACCAUAGUGCCGACAAAGCUCAUCACUAAGCUAAGGACCCUUGCAGACGGAGGUGACUAAACACCUCCCUCUGCAACUGGAUCCUGGACAUCCUGACAGGCCGCCCCAGGUGGUAAGGGUAGGCAACAACACAUCUGCCACGCUGAUCCUCAACACUGGAGCCCCUCAGGUGUGGGUGCUUAGUCCCCUCUUGUACUCCCUGUUCACCCACGACUGCGUGGCCAAACACGACUCCAACACCAUCAUUAAGUUUGUUGACGACACAACAGUGGUAGGCUUUAUCACCGACAACGAUGAGACAGCCUAUAGGGAGGUGUGGUGCCAAGACAACAACCUCUCCCUCAAUAUGAGCAAGACAAAGGAGCUGAUCGUGGACUACAGGAAAAAGCGGACUGAACAGGCCCCCAUUAACAUCAACAGGGCCGUAGUGGAGCAGGUCGAGAGUUUUAAGUUCCUUGGUGUCCACAUCACCAACGAACUAUCAUGGUCCAAACACACCAAGACAGUCGUAAAGUGGGCGCGACAACACCUAUGCCCCCUCAGGAGACUGAAUAGAUUUGGCAUGGGUCCCCAGAUCUUCAAAAAGUCGACAGCUGCACCAUCGAGAGCAGUCUGACCGGUUGCAUCACCGCCUGGUAUGGCAACUGCUCUGUAUCUGACCGUAAGGCGCUUCAAAGGGUAGUGUGUACAGCCCAGUACAUCACUGGGGCCAAGCUUCCUGCCAUCCAGGACCUACAUACUAGGUGGUGUCAGAGUAAGGCCCAAAACAUUGUCAGACUCCAGUCACCCAAGUCAUAGACUGUUCUCUCUGCUACUGAACGGCAAGCCACGUCUAGGAUCAAAAGGCUCCUUAACAGCUUCUACCCCAAACAAUUUACAUUGACCCCCCCCUUUUAAUUUUACACUGUUGCUUCUCACUGGUUAUUACCUAUGCAGUCACUUUACCCCUACCUACAUGUGCAAAUUACCUCGACUAACCUGUACCCCCGCACAGUACCCCCUGUAAAUAGCCUUGUUAUUAGUUAUUUUAUUGUGUUAUUUUUUAUUUUAAUAAAAAAAUGUUACUUUAUUUUAUUUAGUAAAUAUUUUCUGAACUCUAUUUCUUGAACUGCAUUGUUGGUUAAGGGCUUAUAAGUAAGCAUUUCACUGUGUCACGUCCUGACCAUGGUAAGCUGUUAUUUUCUAUGGUAGAGUAGGUCAGGGCGUGACAGGGUGGUUUUCUAGUUUCGUUUUUCUAUGUUUUCUAUUUCUAUGUUCAGGUUCUAGUUUUGUAUUUCUAUGUUGGGGUUUUGUUUGGGAUGAUCUCCAAUUAGAGGCAGCUGGUCCUCGUUGUCUCUAAUUGGAGAUCAUACUUAAGUAGGGUUUUUUUCCACCUGGGUUUUGUGGGAGAUUAAUUUUGAGUAGUGUAUGUUUCACUUCUGCGUCACGGUUUGUUGUUUUUUGUCAUUCAGUUUAUUGCACAGUUUCACAGUAUAAUGUAUUGCACAGUUUCACAGUAUAAAUAAAAUGUGGAACGACACACACACUGAACUUUGGUCCACUCAUUCCUACGACAACCGUGACAGAAUCUCCCACCACCAAAGGACCAAGCAGCAUGCCCAGGAGAAACAGGAAUGGACUUGGGAGGAAAUUCUGGACGGGAAAGGACCCUGGAGUCAGGCUGGGGAGUAUCGCCGUCCGAAAGAAGAAAUUGAGGCAGCUAAAGCAGAGCAACGAUAUUACGAGGCACUAUACCAGCCACGAGGCAAGUGCGAGGGGCACACGGG
rnacentral:lncRNA from 1 species